rnacentral:rRNA from 1 species
UACAGAGGGGGCAAGCGUUAUUCGGAAUUAUUGGGCGUAAAGGGCGCGUAGGCGGCCUGGCAAGUGGAUGGUGAAAUCCCUCGGCUUAACCGAGGAACUGCCAUCCAGACUGCUUGGCUUGAGACCGGGAGAGGUGAGUGGAAUUCCCAGUGUAGCGGUGAAAUGCGUAGAUAUUGGGAGGAACACCAGUGGCGAAGGCGGCUCACUGGACCGGUACUGACGCUCAUGCACGAAAGCGUGGGGAGCAAACAGG